GACGUAGGGCGCGAGCGUUGUCCGGAUUUACUGGGCGUAAAGGGCGCGUAGGCGGCCAGCACAAGUCAGUUGUGAAAUCUCCGAGCUUAACUCGGAAAGGUCAACUGAUACUAUGCGGCUAGAGUGCAGAAGGGGCAACUGGAAUUCUUGGUGUAGCGGUGAAAUGCGUAGAUAUCAAGAGGAACACCUGCGGCGAAGGCGGGUUGCUGGGCUGACACUGACGCUGAGGCGCGAAAGCUAGGGGAGCGAACGGG
rnacentral:rRNA from 1 species